GUAGGAGUGACGGAACUGGCAGACGUAACGGACUUAAAAUCCGUUGUUCUUCGGAACGUGGGGGUUCGACUCCCCCUUCCUGCA
rnacentral:tRNA from 1 species